AACGAACGUUAGCGGCGCGCCUAACACAUGCAAGUCGCACGAGAAAGGGCUUCGGCCCCGGUACAGUGGCGCACGGGUGAGUAACACGUAGAUCAUCUCCCUCGAGUGGUGGAUAACUCUCCGAAAGGAGAGCUAAUACAGCAUGAGACCACGGCUUCGUUGAAGCUGCGGCCAAAGCAGGCCUCUACACGUAAGCUUGCGCUUGAGGAUGAGUCUGCGGCCCACUCAGCUAGUUGGUAGGGUAAUGGCCUACCAAGGCUAAGACGGGUAGGCUGGUCUGAGAGGAUGAACAGGCCACACUGGAACUGAGACACGGUCCAGACUCCGUACGGGAGGCAGCAGUGGGGAAUCUUGCGCAAUGGGCGAAAGCCUGACGCAGCGACGCCGCGUGAGCGAUGAAGGCCUUCGGUU
rnacentral:rRNA from 1 species